ACUGGGCAAGUUGAAUGGCUUAGACAAUCAUUGAUAGAUAUUGAAGAGCUACAUCUUAUUGGAAACAAUAUAAGCAGAGUACUAGUACAUUUUGUUUUUGGUUCAUUAUUCUCGUUAAACUAUGGAGAGCAGUUGAAUAAACAUUAGAAAUUGAACCAUUUGAUCACACUGCAAGAUUUCUCUAAAAAGUAAAAACUAUGUACCAAGUAUUUUUUGAGCAUGUCUUUCAUGUCUGAUUGAUUUAUUGUGUCUCUUGCUUCUUGUAAACACAUUUUUUUUGUGUAUACUCCUCUGAAACUGCUUUCUUUACAUCACAUGGAUGUAGUCAGAUUAUGAAUUCAUAAUUUACCAUAACCCCAAAACUGACCCUUGAGGCUGAAAUUUAUUUAUAAACAAAAAAUUUACCAUCACAUAGAUGUAGUCUGAUUGAGUUAUUGUGCAUUUGAUCCUUUUUUGAAAUAAAUAAAUAAAUUGAAAAAUCCUAAACUUGCGAUAUUUUAUUAACUUGAUAUAGGGAUAUGCAGAUAUCACUUUGAAGUGUGUUGAAGCAUCCAUGGGUGAGAAGCAACCGUUGACAAAGAAGCUGCCAGCAACAACUACAGUUGGUAAGCUGAAAUUUAUGUGAGGGCUUUUUUAAGCUGAAGUCAUUGGAGCUAUAGUUAUUUCUUCAAGAAGAGAUUUGUUUUCAUUGAAAAAAAAAGAAAUAGCACGUGUGUUCAAAUCACGAUUGCCUGAUUCAGUUACCGGCGACUUAAUCUUGAAAAAUCAUUUCAUUUUCCCUUAAUAGAAAGAUCAGAAAUUGAAGAGGUUUUCUUGUGCUGAAAUUUCUACCCCGUUUUGAUUAGCUACAAUUAAUUUUAAAAGUUGGCUUGCAAAUGAAUGUAUUUUGAAGUGGUAGACCAAUUGAGUGUGGUUACAAGCCAACAUUAGAUGUGUCAUGUGUGUUUAAGGCCCUGUUGAAUUGGAUGUUCUUUACCCUUUCAUGCCACAAAUAUUUUCUGAUUCCAUUGCAAACAGAUUUGGAUCUUGCACGCCAAAAAAGAAUAAUGACAUUAUUUGGAAAAU